rnacentral:rRNA from 1 species
AUUACCGCGGCUGCUGGCACGAAGUUAGCCGGGGCUUAUUCUACAGGUACCGUCAUUAUCGUCCCUAGCGAAAGAGCUUUACAACCCUAAGGCCUUCAUCACUCACGCGGCAUGGCUGGAUCAGGCUUGCGCCCAUUGUCCAAUAUUCCCCACUGCUGCCUCCCGUAGG